rnacentral:rRNA from 1 species
UACGGAGGGAGCUAGCGUUGUUCGGAAUUACUGGGCGUAAAGCGCACGUAGGCGGCUUUGUAAGUUAGACGGUGAAAGCCCGGGGCUCAACUCCGGAACUGCCUUUAAGACUGCAUCGCUUGAAUCCAGGAGAGGUGAGUGGAAUUCCGAGUGUAGAGGUGAAAUUCGUAGAUAUUCGGAAGAACACCAGUGGCGAAGGCGGCUCACUGGACUGG